rnacentral:rRNA from 1 species
CGGACGGGUGAGUAAUGCUUGGGAAUCUAGCUUAUGGAGGGGGAUAACUACGGGAAACUGUAGCUAAUACCGCGUAAUAUCGAAAGAUUAAAGUGUGGGACCUUCGGGCCACAUGCCAUAGGAUGAGCCCAAGUGGGAUUAGGUAGUUGGUGAGGUAAAGGCUCACCAAGCCGACGAUCUCUAGCUGGUCCGAGAGGAUGACCAGCCACACUGGGACUGAGACACGGCCCAG